rnacentral:lncRNA from 1 species
UAAUGAUUGACUAUAUAUCAUUUCUCUAUCAUUUGAUGUUCUUGUCUGGGCUCAUUCAUGAGACUACAUUCAGCUGGCUGCAGUGCAGGGACCAAGAUGGACUUGUCAGGAGCCUUGGAUCGAGCUGGCAGCUGGGUACCUUGGUCCUCUUCCAAGCCUCCUUUCAUCCUCCACGCACUAGACUAGCUUUUUUACUUGGACAAGCUCCAAUGCGUGAGCAACUAUCAAGCCUCUGCUACGCCAUACUUGCCGGUGUCCCAUUGACCGAGAUCCUCCCUCUCCGGCCUCCCACCCUCAGCUGUCAAGAGAUGACUAUUCUGCAUACAGACUGUCAAUGGAUUUCAGCCUUCCAGUUCCACUUCUUCCUCUUCCCCAGCUGUUAGCAUCUAGUUCUGUGCUGUCCAACCCAAUCACAAUAUGCCACCUGAUGCUACUGAACACUCUGAAUAUGGUGAGCUUGAAUUGAAGUGUGACACAGUGUAGAACACACAGACUUUGAAGGCUUAGCACCAAAAAAAGAAUGUAGAUCUCUCACCAAUAAUUUUAAUAUUGAGUACAUGUUGAAAUGAAGCCAUUUUAGAUAUAUUGGAUUAAAUAAAAUAUCAUAUGAAAAUUUCUUUUUUUACCUUUUUUAAUCUCACUACUA